UUGACAGAUCUGGAGCGGUUAUGUCUGCUUUUAAGGUUUCCACUAAGAUGGAAGAAAAAAUUUCCUUGAGCUUUCUCUGCCUGAUUGUGGCAGUCUAGAUUGAAUAGGGGAAUACAAGA
rnacentral:snoRNA from 1 species